UCAUUAGCUUGCUUUUGAAGAUCAGCGGCGGACGGGUGAGUAACACGUGGGCAACCUGCCUGUAAGACUGGGAUAACUUCGGGAAACCGGAGCUAAUACCGGAUAAUCCUUUCCCUCACAUGAGGGAAAGCUGAAAGACGGUUUCGGCUGUCACUUACAGAUGGGCCCGCGGCGCAUUAGCUAGUUGGUGAGGUAACGGCUCACCAAGGCGACGAUGCGUAGCCGACCUGAGAGGGUGAUCGGCCACACUGGGACUGAGACACGGCCCAGACUCCUACGGGAGGCAGCAGUAGGGAAUCUUCCGCAAUGGACGAAAGUCUGACGGAGCAACGCCGCGUGAGCGAUGAAGGCCUUCGGGUCGUAAAGCUCUGUUGUCAGGGAAGAACAAGUACCGGAGUAACUGCCGGUACCUUGACGGUACCUGACCAGAAAGCCACGGCUAACUACGUGCCAGCAGCCGCGGUAAUACGUAGGUGGCAAGCGUUGUCCGGAAUUAUUGGGCGUAAAGCGCGCGCAGGCGGUUCCUUAAGUCUGAUGUGAAAGCCCCCGGCUCAACCGGGGAGGGUCAUUGGAAACUGGGGAACUUGAGUGCAGAAGAGGAGAGCGGAAUUCCACGUGUAGCGGUGAAAUGCGUAGAGAUGUGGAGGAACACCAGUGGCGAAGGCGGCUCUCUGGUCUGUAACUGACGCUGAGGCGCGAAAGCGUGGGGAGCG
rnacentral:rRNA from 2 species